rnacentral:rRNA from 1 species
AGAGUUUGAUCAUGGCUCAGAACGUACGCUGGCGGCACGCCUAACACAUGCAAGUCGAACGAAGUAGCAAUACUUAGUGGCAGACGGGUGAGUAACAUGUGGGUAUCUGCCCUUUGGCCUGGAAUAACACGAGGAAACUUGUGCUAAUACCGGAUAAGUCUUUACGGAGAAAGCUUUAUGCACCAUUGGAUGAGCCCGCACUUGAUUAGUUUGUUGGUGGGGUAAUGGCCUACCAAGACUGUGAUCAAUAGCUGAUUUGAGAGGAUGAUCAGCCACAUUGGGACUGAGACACGGCCCAAACUCCUACGGGAGGCAGCAGUGGGGAAUCUUGCACAAUGGAGGAAACUCUGAUGCAGCGAUGCCGCGUGAGUGAAGAAGGCCCUUGGGUUGUAAAGCUCUUUCGUCGGGGAAGAAAAUGACUGUACCCGAAUAAGAAGGUCCGGCUAACUUCGUGCCAGCAGCCGCGGUAAUACGAAGGGACCUAGCGUAGUUCGGAAUUACUGGGCUUAAAGAGUUCGUAGGUGGUUGAAAAAGUUAGUGGUGAAAUCCCAGAGCUUAACUCUGGAACUGCCAUUAAAACUUUUCAGCUAGAGUAUGAUAGAGGAAAGCAGAAUUUCUAGUGUAGAGGUGAAAUUCGUAGAUAUUAGAAAGAAUACCAAUUGCGAAGGCAGCUUUCUGGAUCAUUACUGACACUGAGGAACGAAAGCAUGGGUAGCGAAGAGGAUUAGAUACCCUCGUAGUCCAUGCCGUAAACGAUGUGUGUUAGACGUUGGAAAUUUAUUUUCAGUGUCGCAGCGAAAGCGAUAAACACACCGCCUGGGGAGUACGACCGCAAGGUUAAAACUCAAAUGAAUUGACGGGGACCCGCACAAGUAGUGGAGCAUGUGGUUUAAUUCGAAGAUACGCGCAGAACCUUACCAACACUUGACAUGUUCGUCGCGACUCUAAGAGAUUAGAGUUUUCGGUUCGGCCGGACGAAACACAGGUGCUGCAUGGCUGUCGUCAGCUCGUGUCGUGAGAUGUUGGGUUAAGUCCCGCAACGAGCGCAACCCUCACUUUUAGUUGCCAUCAUUAAGUUGGGCACUCUGAAAGAACUGCCAGUGAUAAGCUGGAGGAAGGUGGGGAUGACGUCAAGUCCUCAUGGCCCUUACGUGUUGGGCUACACACGUGCUACAAUGGUAUCUACAACAGGAAGCAAGACUGCGAGGUCAAGCAAAUCCUUAAAAGAUACCUCAGUUCGGAUUGCACUCUGCAACUCGAGUGCAUGAAGCUGGAAUUACUAGUAAUCGUGGAUCAGCGUGCCACGGUGAAUGCGUUCCCGGGUCUUGUACACACCGCCCGUCACACCAUGGAAAUUGGUUUUACCUUAAGGCAAGUUAUUAACCCUCGGGAAAUGCUUGACUACGGUUAAAUCAGUAACUGGGGUGAAGUCAUAACAAGGUAACCGUA